UUUCAAAGCUGCUGUGCGAAACUUGCAUUGAGCACUCUGUGGGUUUUGCAUUGUGAGAAAUAAUGAACAGUUGAACAGUUUACCAUACAUCUGUGAUAAAGAGUAAAUUAUUGUCCUUCAUCUAAGCAAUUUUAGCUAGCUGGUUUUUCAUCAGGAUCACACAGAACAGCACACACUGGUAAAAUCUAUGAGAACUUUUAUCAGUGAGAAAAUCACAGUAUUCUGAAGGGGAAAGGGAGAAUGAUGGCACCUUCUGUGGUUUUUUUUUUUUUUUUCAUAUUUACUUAGGAAGACUUGAUUUUAACCAUUUGUACAAGUAGAUUUUAAAGUAUCAAGCCCUGGAAAUCACAUUUUUAAAGGAUAUUCUGUUAAUACAAGGUAGCUUGGUGAUAUAAAGCACUACAACACAGAAAGGUUGCAGGAAGAAAUACAGGUGGAACAAGCCACAAAGAUGACUUCCAUAAGAAUUCUGGCUCAUUCAGAAUUUCAGCUGGAGAAUAACUGGCAACUGUAACCUUCUUCAGCACUAGGGAGCUUAUCUUUCUUUCUUCUCUGGAGAAGAAAUAAGAAGACUUAGCCAAAAUGAAAAAGACUUGGUCACACUGGUUAACUGAUUCUAGAUUUUUUUUCAGGUCUUCUCAGUCAUGAUCAUUUAUUGUUGGCAGGGUUUUUUUUGUUUAUUAUUUUUGUAGCAUUUCAAAUAUAUUGAUAUCCCCAGCUAAAAUUCCCAAGAAGUAUUUUGUCUUCUUUAUGUCUUACUUUACCA
rnacentral:lncRNA from 1 species